rnacentral:rRNA from 1 species
UUUUUGGAGAGUUUGAUCCUGGCUCAGGAUUAACGCUGGCGGCGUGCCUAACACAUGCAAGUCGUACGCCCCGCCUUUGGCGGGGAGUGGCGAACGGCUGAGUAACGCGUGGAUAAUCUACCCCUUUGCAAGAAAUAACCCUGAGAAAUCGGGGCUAAUGUCUUAUAAUAUCCAAAGGUGCAAUUCCUUUGGAUUAAAGAAGCAAUUCGCGAAGGGAAGAGUCCGCGUCCUAUCAGGUAGUUGGUGGGGUAAUGGCCUACCAAGCCAAUGACGGGUAGCUGGUCUGAGAGGAUGGUCAGCCAGAAGGGAACUGCGACACGGUCCCUACUCCUACGGGAGGCAGCAGUGAGGAAUCUUGCGCAAUGGGCGAAAGCCUGACGCAGCGACGCCGCGUGGAGGAAGAAGCCCCUCGGGGUGUAAACUCCUUUUAUCGCUGAUGAAAUCUGACAUUAAGCGAUGAAUAAGGGCCUGCUAACUACGUGCCAGCAGCAGCGGUAAUACGUAGGGCCCGAGCGUUAUCCGGAUUUACUGGGCAUAAAGAGUGCGUAGGCGCCUGCCUAAAUUUUGUUUGAAAUUCCAUGGCUUAACCAUGGAUCCGGACAAAAUAUUGGGCAGGUUGAGGCCAGAAGGGGCAGGUAGAAUUUUCGGUGUAGGGGUGAAAUCCGUUGAUAUCGAAAAGAAUACCAAUGGCGAAGGCAGCCUGCUAGUCUGGUUCUGACGUUGAGGCACGAAAGCGUGGGGAGCGAAAGGGAUUAGAUACCCCUGUAGUCCACGCCGUAAACGAUGCAGACUAGCUAUUGGGAGCAUCGACCCUCCUUGUAGCGAAGCUUAUGCGUUAAGUCUGCCGCCUGGGAAGUACGGCCGCAAGGCUAAAACUCAAAGGAAUUGACGGGGGCUCGCACAAGCGGUGGAGCAUCUGGCUUAAUUCGACAACAAGCGAAGAACCUUACCAGGCCUUGACAUCCCGCGAACCCUGCCGAAAGGUGGGGGUGCCCGCAAGGGAACGCGGAGACAGGUGCUGCAUGGUCGAACCUAAUACGACCCCUUGGUGAGUAAUCAUCAGGGAAAAACUGGCUAAUAACGGUGGAGCCCAACUGCUAACUUAUCCACAACCUGUCCGCCAUAGCCUUGCGAAGGCGGAUUGACAAUUCGGUUUUUGUUUGGUAUAACUAAGUUAGCAAGGGGUAAUACCGUGGGAAGUAUAGAAAGCAUUAUGUUGUUUAGAACCGUAAGGUCGGCCUAUAUUCUCGGAUUGUGGCUCGCCGAUGGCUACUCUUGGAGUAGUAGCAUCGGUUUAAGCUCGGCUGAUAUCCGUCUUCUUGAAAGAUUCGCAGAAUUUCUGAUGAUGCUAUUUCCAAAGAACAGGUUAAGAUUAAGAAUCUAUCAGCCUGCAAACUUUCAUAGAGAUAUUUCGAGAUAUCUGAAAUUGACAGAAAAUGUUGUGAAAUAUCCGCAUUCAAAGGUAAGACAGCCAAAUUGUCAUUUAUAUGUUAAUAGCCGUCCUUUGUUGCGGGAAUUUCGCCGCGCGGAGAAUAAAUUGCUAAAGAUGCCAAAUAAUUUGGUACCUCCUUAUUUUGCUGGAAGAUUUGAUGGAGAUGGUUCGGUAGAUCAAGACUUUAGAAGAGAUUGUAGAAUAGUCUACUCUAACCUGAGGGAAGCCGAGCAAGAUCGCCGACUGAUUAAAAAAAAUCUAUUCAUUUCGUCAACGAUUUAUUACUACAAAACCGCAAAGACAUACUGUCUUUACAUUUCUCGGAUGGAUGCGCCACAAUUUCUCAAGAAUAUUAAGCCAUAUUCAGUUGUUCUAAAUGACAAGCUUUCUCUACCCCGUAGAGACUGAGUCCUUAUGGACGAGAUCCGCCAUAGGCGGAUAAUAUGCCAGAUCCCUACUCUUAAUGAAAGAAGAGAGAAGAGGGAUAAGAUAUAGUCCGCACCAUAAGUAAUUAUGGAGUAUGUGGUCGUCAGCUCGUGUCGUGAGAUGUUGGGUUAAGUCCCGCAACGAGCGCAACCCUUGUCCUGUGUUGCGACUCCGCAAGGAGGCACUCUCAGGAGACCGCCAG